CUGACUCGGCAGGAUAUCGCAUCCUGGGCCUACUUAGUCUAUCAGGCAUAGACAUCAGAGUCGAAGUAGUUCGGACUGGGGAAACGACACAUGCUCGCUAGGAUAUCGCAUCCUAUGCAUACGUAUCUCCUUUGACGAAGGAGAAUCAGAGCAUUCGUAGCUCGGCUGACACGCACACAAACAAACACAGGCAAAGGCAAACGUGGAGCCUGAAUGCCAAUCACUGGACUUACAUCAGC
rnacentral:lncRNA from 1 species